GCUAAUUUUAUCCGGCUCCCGCUCAGCAGGAAACCAAUGUUGAGGAAAGCCUAGUUCUUUAGGGUGGCUCUGGCCCUGCCGAAGCCACUCAAGGGGCCAUGAAGAAGGGAAAUGCUGUGGCCUCCGUUCCAGAAGAGGUGCGGUCGUCUUCUCCUGCUCCAAAGGCGCUGAGACCUCUGCUCUGUAGUGCCGAGACUGGAGCUGCUUCUGAGGCCUAGCUCCUUCCCACAAGGAGCCAGACUGACCAGCUUGCUGAGGAUGAAUGAGACCAACCACUGGAGAGGUUCCGAAAGGGUUUGGAGCUGCUUCCCUGGGAGGACUGAGCAGGUUCCAGCUACAGAGAAGCAGAGAAGCAACUAACCUGGGUCAGAAGAAAUUUACUUCCCUCUGUCCACCCCCACUGAAGGCACUUUUGACUCUAAUUAGAACUUGUGUAUCUGUCUCCUCCCUUCUUCAAUCCUUUACAAUCAAUUUUGUAAUAUGUUUUGGCAAGAUGAGAAAUGAUAAUGGAACAAAAUAGAAUGAAGACUUCUGCUCUAUCCAGAACUCCUGAAGAUACUGAAUACCAAUCUGAACUCUCUGGAGGGUCAGUUGGCCCUAGAGAUAGGGGACAAUAAUAGUGAGGAUUUGAAGAAAAAGGAGUGCAACUGACCAGGACAUUUUUGGAUACUAUCGGAUAAGACCUGCUACGAUACUAUCUCUUUGGCUGGGGUCCUGGGGCUUUGAAAAGAAGAGGUGUGGAAAUGACAAAAAGGGUUUCAUAGCAGCUGUCUUACUGCAAAAAUCCAGAGGUGAUGGCUUCCAUACUUUUGAGUGCUCCAUAAAAAGUCACCCUUCCCCCAGAAAGUGGAAAACAAGAUAGGGGAGAAAGGGGAAAAUGGAAGAGAUGUCUCUGUGAGAUGUGUAGAAUUGGGCCUGAGACCCAGGCUGGAGUUGGGCCUGUACAACAUCCAAAAGCCCAGUUGUUCCUCUAAUUAAGCAAGGGAAAGAAAGAAAAAGGGAGAACAAUGCUGGAGGAAGAAAGGGGCUAUAUCUAGCAAAGGUGGUACAAAUGAUGUACCAUGGUGGAUGGAGAAGCCAAGAAAAUAUGUGGUCAGGACAGCCAAUUUUAUUCCUUCUUCUCCUACCAACCUCAGAAACUGGAGCAAAGUAUAGCAUAGAGGAGGGCAAGACUCUCACGGUAAAGAGGCAUGUACUUCCUCAAGUCACCCAAACAGGCUACAUUAGCCACUCACAAAUAGGUGGCUGGUAAUUUCACGUUAGUUACCACAGCACCCAUCUUCAAGGCAGAUGAUUAUAUGUCCCUAGGCUUAGUCCUCUUUUAUCCUUAAAAUGGGAGAAGGCUGGAAUGUCCUAAAUCUUCUUUCCUUUGAGUCCUAAGAGAGAUACAGGAUAAGGAGAGAAUGGAAGCAGAAAGAAACUUUCAAGAAAUGUUUCCAAGCCCCACUGUUGGGAAGCUACAAAGGGGUACAGGCCAAGAUAUAACCAAGGAUGCCAUAUUCUCUUCAUCACUCUCACCUAACAAGUUUUCCAGUCUGAGUCCUUUGCACUAGUCCCCCAUUACCCCUACAGAAGCCCCUGUUACAUUAAACCUGAUCCUAUAAACAGGUGGAAAAAGAUUUUUUCAGAUAAAAUAUUCAUAAUCUAUGGCUUGAGGUGUACAGUUUGUGUGUGUGUGUGUGUGUGUGUGUGUGUGUGUG